GAGGAAAGUCCGGGCUCCACAGAGCAGGAUGCCGGCUAACGGCCGGACGCCGCGAGGCGAGGAAUAGGGCCACAGAGACGAGCGUAUACAGUACGGUGAAACGCGGUAACCUCCAUCCGGAGCAACACCAAAUAGGCAGGCGAUGAAGCGGCUCGCUGAGUCUGCGGGUAGGUGGCUUGAGCCGGUCAGCAAUGGCCGGCCUAGAGGANUGGUUGCCCACGACAGAACCCGGCUUAU
rnacentral:RNase_P_RNA from 1 species